UAAUUGCACCAUGACAUUCACCCCCAAAUCCUUCAGUUUCCAUCUAAAAAAAGUUUCAUCUGCGAGAAAUAAUAGGUGAACACAGAAACCAGCCCUCAGCUGAACGAGCCACGCAGGAGUACAGAAAACACACAUACGCGCAACCAUCAACAUCUACCAGCUACCUCGGUUAUUAGUCAUCUGGCCUUACAACUUUUUGUCUGACUUUCACUACAUAGCUCAUAAGCUGUAUUCCUUCUGAUACCACUUCCACAAGCCAACUCCAGAACAUGCCCAGGCUAGCCUGCUGGCAGAUGCGAGACAUGUGAAUCAGAGCCAAUCACCGAGUUACCCCACAUAUUGAGUAUCUACUAUGCAACAGAUAACCUUACAGCUUCUGUCUUCCUCAACAGCAUUUUCAG